rnacentral:rRNA from 1 species
GGAGCUGAGACCAGUCGAAGAUACCAGCUGGCUGCAACUGUUUAUUAAAAACACAGCACUGUGCAAACACGAAAGUGGACGUAUACGGUGUGACGCCUGCCCGGUGCCGGAAGGUUAAUUGAUGGGGUUAUCCGUAAGGAGAAGCUCUUGAUCGAAGCCCCGGUAAACGGCGGCCGUAACUAUAACGGUCCUAAGGUAGCGAAAUUCCUUGUCGGGUAAGUUCCGACCUGCACGAAUGGCGUAAUGAUGGCCAGGCUGUCUCCACCCGAGACUCAGUGAAAUUGAACUCGCUGUGAAGAUGCAGUGUACCCGCGGCAAGACGGAAAGACCCCGUGAACCUUUACUAUAGCUUGACACUGAACAUUGAGCCUUGAUGUGUAGGAUAGGUGGGAGGCUUUGAAGCGUGGACGCCAGUCUGCGUGGAGCCAACCUUGAAAUACCACCCUUUAAUGUUUGAUGUUCUAACGUAGGCCCCUAAUCGGGGUUGCGGACAGUGUCUGGUGGGUAGUUUGACUGGGGCGGUCUCCUCCCAAAGAGUAACGGAGGAGCACGAAGGUUAGCUAAUCCUGGUCGGACAUCAGGAGGUUAGUGCAAUGGCAUAAGCUAGCUUGACUGCGAGCGUGACGGCGCGAGCAGGUGCGAAAGCAGGUCAUAGUGAUCCGGUGGUUCUGAAUGGAAGGGCCAUCGCUCAACGGAUAAAAGGUACUCCGGGGAUAACAGGCUGAUACCGCCCAAGAGUUCAUAUCGACGGCGGUGUUUGGCACCUCGAUGUCGGCUCAUCACAUCCUGGGGCUGAAGUAGGUCCCAAGGGUAUGGCUGUUCGCCAUUUAAAGUGGUACGCGAGCUGGGUUUAGAACGUCGUGAGACAGUUCGGUCCCUAUCUGCCGUGGGCGCUGGAGAAUUGAGGGGGGCUGCUCCUAGUACGAGAGGACCGGAGUGGACGCAUCACUGGUGUUCGGGUUGUCAUGCCAAUGGCACUGCCCGGUAGCUAAAUGCGGAAGAGAUAAGUGCUGAAAGCAUCUAAGCACGAAACUUGCCCCGAGAUGAGUUCUCCCUGAGACUUUAAGUCUCCUGAAGGAACGUUGAAGACGACGACGUUGAUAGGCCGGGUGUGUAAGCGCAGCGAUGCGUUGAGCUAACCGGUACUAAUGAACCGUGAGGCUUAACCUUACAACGCCGAAG